rnacentral:tRNA from 1 species
UCCUUUGUGGCUCAGAUGGUAAAGAAUCUGCCUGCAAUGCAGGAGACCCAGGUUCGAUCCCUGGGUCAGGAA